GUUGUAUGGUUAAGUGACUAAGCGUACACGGUGGAUGCCUUGGCAGUCAGAGGCGAUGAAAGACGUAGUAACUUGCGAUAAGCCCAGAUUAGGUAGUAACAACCAUUUGAGUCUGGGAUUUCUGAAUGGGGAAACCCACGUGCAUAAGCACGUAUCCUUACCUGAAUACAUAGGGUAAGGAGGCGAACCGGGGGAACUGAAACAUCUAAGUACCCCGAGGAAAAGAAAUCAACCGAGAUUCCGAAAGUAGCGGCGAGCGAAAUUGGACUAGCCCUUAAGCUUUACACGCGUUAGACGAACGGUCUGGAAAGUCCGACGAUACAGGGUGAUAGUCCCGUAGUUGACGACGUGUGUUCAGUGAAAUCGAGUAGGGCGGGACACGUGAUAUCCUGUCUGAAUAUGGGGGGACCAUCCUCCAAGGCUAAAUACUACUGACUGACCGAUAGUGAACCAGUACCGUGAGGGAAAGGCGAAAAGAACCCCUGUGAGGGGAGUGAAAUAGAACCUGAAACCGUGUACGUACAAGCAGUAGGAGCAGGCUUUGUCCUGUGACUGCGUACCUUUUGUAUAAUGGGUCAGCGACUUAUAUUCAGUGGCAAGGUUAACCAUCUAGGGGAGCCGUAGGGAAACCGAGUCUUAACUGGGCGUUCAGUCUCUGGAUAUAGACCCGAAACCAGGUGAUCUAGCCAUGGGCAGGUUGAAGGUUGAGUAACAUCAACUGGAGGACCGAACCGACUAAUGUUGAAAAAUUAGCGGAUGACUUGUGGCUAGGGGUGAAAGGCCAAUCAAACCUGGAGAUAGCUGGUUCUCCCCGAAAGCUAUUUAGGUAGCGCCUCGGACGAAUACUACUGGGGGUAGAGCACUGUUAAGGCUAGGGGGUCAUCCCGACUUACCAACCCUUUGCAAACUCCGAAUACCAGUAAGUACUAUCCGGGAGACACACGGCGGGUGCUAACGUCCGUCGUGGAGAGGGAAACAACCCAGACCGCCAGCUAAGGUCCCAAAUUACUACUAAGUGGGAAACGAUGUGGGAAGGCUCAGACAGCCAGGAUGUUGGCUUAGAAGCAGCCAUCAUUUAAAGAAAGCGUAAUAGCUCACUGGUCGAGUCGGCCUGCGCGGAAGAUGUAACGGGGCUAAGUAGUAAACCGAAGCUGCGGCAAUAUACUUUUGUAUAUUGGGUAGGGGAGCGUUCUGUAAGCGGUUGAAGGUGUGUGGUAACGCAUGCUGGACGUAUCAGAAGUGCGAAUGCUGACAUGAGUAACGAUAAAGGGGGUGAAAAACCUCCUCGCCGGAAGACCAAGGGUUCCUGUCCAACGUUAAUCGGGGCAGGGUAAGUCGACCCCUAAGGCGAGGCCGAAAGGCGUAGUCGAUGGGAAACGGGUUAAUAUUCCCGUACUUCUUACAAUUGCGAUGGGGGGACGGAGAAGGCUAGGUGGGCCUGGCGACGGUUGUCCAGGUUCAAGUGCGUAGGCUUGAGAGUUAGGUAAAUCCGGCUCUUUCUAAGGCUGAGACACGACGUCGAGCACCUACGGGUGUGAAGUCAUUGAUGCCAUGCUUCCAGGAAAAGCCUCUAAGCUUCAGAUUGUAAGGAAUCGUACCCCAAACCGACACAGGUGGUCGGGUAGAGAAUACCAAGGCGCUUGAGAGAACUCGGGUGAAGGAACUAGGCAAAAUGGUACCGUAACUUCGGGAGAAGGUACGCUCUCGACGGUGAAGUCCCUCGCGGAUGGAGCUAUUGAGAGUCGCAGAUACCAGGUGGCUGCAACUGUUUAUUAAAAACACAGCACUGUGCAAAAUCGUAAGAUGACGUAUACGGUGUGACGCCUGCCCGGUGCCGGAAGGUUAAUUGAUGGGGUUAGACUUCGGUCGAAGCUCUUGAUCGAAGCCCCGGUAAACGGCGGCCGUAACUAUAACGGUCCUAAGGUAGCGAAAUUCCUUGUCGGGUAAGUUCCGACCUGCACGAAUGGCGUAAUGAUGGCCACGCUGUCUCCACCCGAGACUCAGUGAAAUUGAAAUCGCUGUGAAGAUGCAGUGUACCCGCGGCUAGACGGAAAGACCCCGUGAACCUUUACUACAGCUUGGCACUGAACAUUGACCCUACAUGUGUAGGAUAGGUGGGAGGCUUUGAAGCACGUACGCCAGUAUGUGUGGAGCCGUCCUUGAAAUACCACCCUUGUAGUGUUGAUGUUCUAACGUCGACCCCUAAUCGGGGUUGCGGACAGUGCCUGGUGGGUAGUUUGACUGGGGCGGUCUCCUCCCAAAGAGUAACGGAGGAGCACGAAGGUGGGCUAAUCACGGUUGGACAUCGUGAGGUUAGUGCAAUGGCAUAAGCCCGCUUGACUGCGAGAAUGACAAUUCGAGCAGGUGCGAAAGCAGGUCAUAGUGAUCCGGUGGUUCUGAAUGGAAGGGCCAUCGCUCAACGGAUAAAAGGUACUCCGGGGAUAACAGGCUGAUACCGCCCAAGAGUUCAUAUCGACGGCGGUGUUUGGCACCUCGAUGUCGGCUCAUCACAUCCUGGGGCUGAAGUCGGUCCCAAGGGUAUGGCUGUUCGCCAUUUAAAGUGGUACGCGAGCUGGGUUUAGAACGUCGUGAGACAGUUCGGUCCCUAUCUGCCGUGGGCGUUGGAAGAUUGAAGGGGGCUGCUCCUAGUACGAGAGGACCGGAGUGGACGAACCUCUGGUGUUCGGGUUGUGUCGCCAGACGCAUUGCCCGGUAGCUAAGUUCGGAAUCGAUAACCGCUGAAAGCAUCUAAGCGGGAAGCGAGCCCUGAGAUGAGUCUUCCCUGAUACUUUAAGUAUCCUAAAGGGUUGUCGGAGACUACGACGUUGAUAGGUCAGGUGUGUAAGUGCUGUGAGGCAUUGAGCUAACUGAUACUAAUUGCCCGUGAGGCUUAACCAUACAACACCCAAGGGGUUU
rnacentral:rRNA from 1 species